CCCGCGGAAAAAGUCGUGCAAAGAAGAAUGUAUAGAAACUGAUCAAUAUCCGUGUGGUGACACAGCAAAAAACAACAUAUUCUCAGUUUACACUGUUGAAAAUGUUCCUCUCAGCAAUAAUUCACAAGACAUUCACAGAAACUGCCUCCUGUUCUACUAUCAUUACAGUCCUGAAAAUUAUUAUCAUUGGGAGAAAUGCAAUAUAGUCCAGUAUCCAGCGCUAUUAUGCAGCAACAAAUAUUUUUCAGAACAUAACCCGACGGUGGAAGUACACUAUCAAAGUAGCGGAAAUUGGGCUCAGGCUGUUGAAAUCUGCGUUGUUGCAGGAAAAUUCCCUUCAUCAUUACGAAGUAUUAACAAUGGGAAUUUUACAGACACGGACGC